AUUGAACGCUGGCGGCAGGCCUAACACAUGCAAGUCGAGCGGGCACUUCGGUGCUAGCGGCGGACGGGUGAGUAACGCGUGGGAACGUACCCUUUGGUUCGGAAUAGCCUCGGGAAACUGGGAGUAAUACCGGAUGAGCUCUUCGGAGGAAAGAUUUAUCGCCAAAGGAUCGGCCCGCGUUGGAUUAGGUAGUUGGUGGGGUAAUGGCCUACCAAGCCGACGAUCCAUAGCUGGUUUGAGAGGAUGAUCAGCCACACUGGGACUGAGACACGGCCCAGACUCCUACGGGAGGCAGCAGUGGGGAAUCUUAGACAAUGGGCGCAAGCUUGAUCUAGCCAUGCCGCGUGAGCGAUGAAGGCCUUAGGGUUGUAAAGCUCUUUCAGUGGGGAAGAUAAUGACGGUACCCACAGAAGAAGCCCCGGCUAACUCCGUGCCAGCCGCCGCGGUAA
rnacentral:rRNA from 1 species